AGCCUACGGGAGGCUGCAGUGGGGAAUUUUGGACAAUGGGGGCAACCCUGAUCCAGCAAUGCCGCGUGUGUGAAGAAGGCCUUCGGGUUGUAAAGCACUUUUGUCCGGAAAGAAAUCGCCCUGGCUAAUACCUGGGGUCGAUGACGGUACCGGAAGAAUAAGGACCGGCUAACUACGUGCCAGCAGCCGCGGUAAUACGUAGGGUCCAAGCGUUAAUCGGAAUUACUGGGCGUAAAGCGUGCGCAGGCGGUUGUGCAAGACCGAUGUGAAAUCCGCGGGCUUAACUUGGGAAUUGCAUUGGUGACUGCACGGCUAGAGUGUGUCAGAGGGGGGUAGAAUUCCACGUGUAGCAGUGAAAUGCGUAGAGAUGUGGAGGAAUACCGAUGGCGAAGGCAGCCCCCUGGGAUAACACUGACGCUCAUGCACGAAAGCGUGGGGAGCAAACAGGAUUAGAUACCCCGGUAGUCCG
rnacentral:rRNA from 1 species